rnacentral:tRNA from 1 species
GGGUAUAUAGCUCAGUGAUAGAGUGCAUACUUAGCAUGCGUGAGGUCCUGGGUUCGAUCCCCAGUACCUCCG